rnacentral:lncRNA from 1 species
GGGGUUCGAGUCCCAGGUACUGUGAUUUAUUAAUAAAUUUGCAGAUUAAUGGAAGCAAGUGUGCAGGAGAUCUUCAGCGAUGUACAAUUAUAGCCGUUCGCCAGGAUUCUACGUAGAGAGAGAAGUGUCGUCAGGUCGUGGAUCAUUGAAGGUGUCCGUCAAGAGCAUGAAGAAAGAAGUAUCAUCUAUCGUGGAUCUAAUAAGGGUCGGAAGGAAUUGUCCGUCGUAGAAUCGUCUAUGUAACAGUUCUCAUAAUUUGCAAUAAAUAAUAAAUCCAGACGUCAAAACAAAAAAAAAAACUUUUUAUUUUUGUUAUUCGAUCAUUUCAAUUGGGAUUUGUGAUGUUUUACAAUAAUUUAUGUUCAAAUUUUAAUAAAAAUCAUAAAUUUUUAAUAAAAAUCAUGAAAUUUAUCUCAAAAAUAUAUUUUUAUAUAUUUACUGCAAUUUUGAAAACAAUAUUAGAUUAAUAUGUUUUUAAAAUAUUAAAAUAACCCUAAAACUAGUCUCCGAUUAAUCCCCGAUUUUAAUCCGAUUUUCCGAUUAAUCGUUAGGUUCAUACUGAGCGCCCGACUAGCGCCUAGCGAUUUUUUAAACGAUGGUUGAAACUAAAGUUAAGAAAGCAAAUUCAUAGCUGUUUCGAUGUAGCCAAUGAUAUACCACUAUAUUAAUCAAAUGAUAAAUGCCAGUUUUGUAUACUUCAUGGAGACAGAUAUGUAUCUAUGUGGUUAUGAUACAUUCGUACACAUGAAUAUUUUUUUUUUUAUAUGUGGUCCAAAUUCUCAUAUAAACAAUUAAGAGUGAUGAUUUGAGUGUCUUAUCCAUGUAUAUGACAAGUGUUUUUAUAUAAAUUAUACAUAGAUAGAGAAUAGUACCCGAAGAAAAGCUCUAUAAACUUGGUUUGAAAGUAAUACAUAGUAUUUCAAUACCGUUACUUUUACUUCAAGCCAAGAAACAAUUCAAACUAAAGGACUAGAGUAAGAAAUAUUAACCAUGAAUUUGACUGAACUUAAUGUAUUUAUAUGCAGAUUGUAUCAAAGUAAAUAGAUCAAUCAUUUUGUGGAGAGAGAGGAGAGACAGAGAAGGGUGAUUAUUAGAAGAGUGAGAAGGAAGUGGCAGAACAAGUCAUAUCAAGAAGAGACAGCUGUAAUUUCAUAAAGACAUCAAGUGGUAGAGAGAAGUGUGAUGCUUAAGGUUUGGUAACAAUAAAAAAAAGUUACUACUUUUCCUAAAAGCAUCUCUACUUCUAUUUUUGUAGUUGUACACACUUCGACUCAAUCAGUAUCACAUUACAUCAUCAGACGUAGACAAAAGCUAGAGAAGCCAGAUUUGUCUAAGGAAAUGUAACAUUGUUAGAAAGGAUCUUCCUCAUUCAUAUGUUCAUACCUAUUAAGCAAGAAAGAUAAAGAAUAAUCUCUAACAAUAAAUAAAAGCAUUUCCUCUUAGGGUUUUAUACAUAAUUAAUCUCUGUAAUUCUAUUUACCUACAUCUUCUCCACAAUUUUGCCAUUUACUUAUUGACAAUGAAAGUAAUUCUAUUUACCUACAUCUUCUCCACAAUUUUACCUCCUAGGGUUUUAGACUUUUAGAAAGGGUUUAUGGAUAGAGGCGGAGGUAGUUGAAUCAUUGGGCUAAUAGGAUAGAGUUAAUAGAGAUUUUAUGGUCAAGUUUGUAGUCAAAGUUUCUUUACUUUCGAGACUCUACUCUUAAAUAUAAAAGUAAACUAUAAAUAUCAUCAUUAAUCCUAUGGUUUUGGGUGGACCUAUCGCUCUAUACAUAACUCAAGGUCGGCCCCUUCCUCUCGUUCUACUACUCUCUCCACGGCUAUUUGUCAUCAUUAUCAUCCUCCCUUACACUUUUUCUUACCCACACCAACAAAAAAAGAUGAAUUGUUUUAACAAAUAUGUAAGUAAAAAGGUGAAAAACUAGACAUACGUUCGUGUAGAUGAUGGGAGUUGUGAUAAUAUGUGGAUAUGAAUAAUUCAAAUGGUACACUGAGUAUAUUGUACUAGUGUUCCUAAAAUAAGAGCAAAGACCAAGACUUAACUAAAAGAUUCAUGGAACGUGGCCCUUUCAAAGUUUCCUCUCGAACCCACAAGAGUGCCUUCUUUGUUCCAACCAAAUUUUGUCCUUUAUUUAAACCUUAAGCGUUUCUUGUUCUAUGAUUUAACAAGACGCUGGUUUAUGUUUGUUUCUCAAGUGCACCUCAUGCUAUUAGUUUCGCGAAAGAAAUAAUCCUUUAUUCUAAGGAUUAAUCAAGUAAAUCUUAUCAAUAUUUACAGUCUAUCUGCAACUUGGCAUACAUUGAUACGUAUGCAUUUUUGUUACCCAUUAAAACUAAGUGAAGUAGCAAAGAAAGAGAGAUUUAAUUUGAAUUCUGUAAAUAGUAUUUAGUGAUUAAUUAAGCCACAGAGUGUUCACACUUCACAGGAUGACAGGAUAUAUUAUAAUUCAAAUUUAGUGGUCAUGUCACUACAACUCAAUUUUUAUACUUGGAGCAGAAUCAACAUAGUUACACCAACUACAAUAAUGGUCGAGAUUGAUGUCUUGAAGCAUUAUAUAAACCACACAAUGACACAACACAGAAAAUAUAUAUAUAUAUAUAUAUAUAUAUAUAUAUAUAUAUGAUAUACAAAACAGAACCAUAUAUAUAUGAUCCUUAGUAAUUCAUGAGUGACAAAGAACAACCAAAAUAAUCUUGAAGAAACUCAGCAAAUAACAUCAAGGUUCAAGGACGGAUUGCGCGGGAAGCAGAGGUCUGAGAUCAAACCAAACACCAAACCGGUUCAUAAUUAUUGGUUAACGUUAAACCAGAUGUUAAAAUUUGACAAAUAUCAUAAACGAAUUAAAGAAAAGUAAAAGAAUUAUUCAAGAGAACGAUUUUGUCAACAACGUGUUAUUUCAUUAAACCAGCAUAAUUAGUAGUUGACUUAGAAGAUGAUUAGACCCGGUUUACCUAAAAUCCGAUACACUUCACAUCAAUCCAGAAGAUGAUUAGACCCGGUUUACCUAAAAUCCGAUACACUUCACAUCAAUCCAACGGUCACGAUUAAAUCACACAAAAAAUGCGUGAAUAUUAUUUAUUCAACUACAAAAUUCCUCUCUGAACCAAAACAAAAAAAAGACAAAUCCGAAACAUGCGUGUGGAUACGAAAGAUCUCAAGAUUCCACUCCUCAAUUUCUCAUCUUUUGCUUCCUCGGUGAGAUUUUCAUGUCCGAUUUCUCUGUUACUCUUCACUGUCUGAACUAAUUUCGAAACCCAUUUUUAAAGUUUCUUACUUUUAGGUUUAAUCGAUUCUGGAAUUGGACUUAGCUCUUGAGGAUUUAUGUUUUGAUCUAUGUCGGAUUCAUAGAAAAUAAAAUUAGGGUUUAUUUGUAUCGGAUUAGUGUUUCAAGCCCAUUUCUUGAUCAUGUGUUUUUGAUUGUAAAGUUUGGUUUUUUAUUCCUAAAUUCGCCUAAUUGUUGGGGAAUUUAUGAUUUGGUGCAGUGACUCUUCUUGAUUUCAUCAAUAAUGGGUUCUGCUAUGAGUUUGAGAUGUUCCAAGAGGAAAGCAACGAGUCAGGACGUGGAGUAUUCGAGUGAAUCUCGUAAAAGACGAAAGAUAUGUUCAGAGAACGAUGAAGGAGAGUGUUGUAGAUUGAUUCCAAGUCUUCCGGAUGAGUUAUCUAUACAGAUUCUUGCUAGGCUUCCUCGAAUAUGUUACUCGAGUGUUCGGUUGGUUUCUCGGAGGUGGAGAUCGGCUGUUUCCACCUCUGAGGUUUAUAUUUUGAGGAAAGAGCUUCGGAGGACAGAGGAGUGGCUUUAUGUGUUGACGAAAGGUCAAGAGGAUAAGCUUUUGUGGUAUGCUUUAGAUCCUGUUUCUACUAAAUGGCAGAGAUUGCCUCCAAUGCCGGCUGUUGUUUACGAAGAAGAGCCUAGAAGGAGUUUAUCUGGUUUGUGGAAUAUGAUUAGCCCGAGUUUUAAUGUUGCUGAUAUUGUGAGGAGCUUUCUUGGUAGGAAGGAUGCCUCUGAGCAAAUGCCGUUUUGUGGGUGCGCUAUCGGUGCUGUUGAUGGCUGUCUUUAUGUUAUUGGUGGGCUCUCUAGGUCUAAAACAGUGAGCUGUGUUUGGCGGUUUGAUCCGAUUUUGAACUCUUGGAGUGAAGUUAGUUCUAUGUUGGCGAGUCGGGCUUAUUCCAAAACAGGUGUAUUGAAUAAAAAACUAUAUGUUGUUGGAGGGGUUGAUCGGAGACGGGGAGGUUUAUCUCCGCUUCAGUCAGCUGAGGUUUACGAUCCAAGCACGGAUGCUUGGUCAGAGGUUCCGAGCAUGCCUUUCUCAAAGGCGCAAGUGUUGCCAAAUGCGUUUUUGGCUGACUUACUUAAGCCUAUUGCCACAGGAAUGACUUGCUACAACGGUAGGUUAUGUGUUCCUCAGAGUUUAUACUCUUGGCCUUUCUUUGUUGAUGUUGGAGGAGAGGUUUAUGAUCCCGAGACAAAUCUCUGGGUUGAAAUGCCGUCUGGUAUGGGUGAAGGUUGGCCUGCGAGGCAAGCGGGUACAAAACUGAGUGUUGUGGUGGAUGGUGAGUUGUAUGCUUUUGAUCCUUCUUCUUCGAUGGAGAACGGGAAGAUUAAAGUGUAUGAUCAGAAGGAAGAUACUUGGAAGGUUGUUAUCGGGGAAGUCCCUGUUUACGACUUAACAGAUUCAGAAUCUCCUUAUUUGCUUGCUGGGUUUCACGGCAAGCUUCAUUUUAUUACUAGAGACCCUAAUCAUAACGUUACAGUCUUACGAGCUGAUGUCCCCAACAUCCCAGUCUCCUCAUCAUCAGCUAGCUCCAGUUCUGUUUCGGGUUCACGGUCUUCGAGUGAAAAGACCAAUGCACCUAACAAGUCAGACACUGUUACCUGGAAACUCAUUGCAACCAAGGACUUUGGUGCUGCUGAACUUGUUAGCUGCCAAGUUAUAGAUAUAUAAAGUCAUCAAAAGCUUUGCCCAUUUCUCGUGGGACAUUGAGAAUCUCUGUGUACAGCCAGAAGGAAAAAAAGGUUGAAGCUUUUCCAAAGAUAUUAUCGUCUAAUUGUUCGAUGAUCCAUUCUUCUGGCAUUUGGCUGCCAAAGUAAGUUUGAGCAAUAAAAUGUUGUGUGACAAAUAUAUAAUAAUCAUGCGACUGUUUUAUCGAUAUCUUUCACAUGCGCAAAUAUACACUAUAGCAUUACAUUGCCUAGCAGUUCAAUCAGUUACAAAAGUUCUGAAUCUGUAACAUCAGUUUGCUACUGCAUAUAUUUCUCUAGUUGGUAACAGAGAAACUUGUAAAAGAAAGAAAGUUUCAGGUAAAAUUUGCAACUUAUGGUGUGUAUCUGAUUCAGGCAAUUGAAACAGUCUAACACAAAAAGGUAUUGAAACCUCCUCCUUUUUUGGUUAAUCCAUCUCAACUUUCACCGGGAGAGAUCACAUUUCUUGAAUCCUUUUACUUAAACCGGAAAAUUCGGUUCGGUUUAGAAUCUCUCUUCCUUGCACUGAAUUAUGUAAGCUCUUUUUGAUUGUUUACAAUGGUGGACCUAAACAAAGUAAGAAGACAAAAAUGAUAUGUAUCGUUCGUUGAUGCCUUAAGAAUUUAGAACGAAUCAUAUGCUCAUAAAGCAAAACCAUUUCUAGAUUCUCAUUUCACACUUCACCUCUGUUCUUUAUAUCUUACUUUGUUUUCUAGUAUAUGAAAGUUGUUGCUUUUGAUUUAUUUCAACGAAUCUAUUCUAUGAUUAAUUUUUGACAUUUUUGUUCUCCCUUCUUUAAUCUGAUGUGAAGGAAUCAGUCUUCUUUUCAUGAAUAUCAAAAUAUCACUAGCCUGUUAUUUAUUCCAUCCAAAUGAUGUAUUGGUUCUUUUUUGUGGCAUGCACGAACGAAUAUUUUUUCUUCAUAAUAAUAUUUGGUUGGUGUUUAGGAGGAAAUUUUUAUGGUUGAACAUUUGAAUUUUCAUUUUAAAUGAUUUCCACUUGAACAAAAACCGAUGAUAUCGAAUACUAUUUUUUUACUUGUAGGUUGGUUUAAAAUUGGUUUCAUUACUUGGAAGUGAAGAUAUUUUAGUUAUACGUCGGUAACCUUUUUUUUUUUUUCCCGAACCAAAUCGAAUCUAAAAAUUAAACAUUAAUUCGACCAAAAAUUCUUAAACAUAACAGUCAAUUAUUAUUAUUAUUAUUUUUUUAACAGUCAAUUAUUUCAUCUGAAUUACCCCUCUAGAUCACCACUAGAUGUUCUUGUAACCAUCUUUAAUUAGUUAAAGUAGUUAGCCUUCUAUAGUUGGUGGCUGCCAUUUUCUAACACAUUCGAAGUUACAUUAUGUUUCUUUGUGUAUUUAUGGUCAUCCUAAAUUCCAGAAUUGCCCCUCUUAUCAUAUAAUUUUGGCAUAUAUGCCAACAUAUUAAAAUAAUAGACAAGAAAUCAUUUUCUUUAUUAAAAAAAUUAAUGGGUGUUAAGAGUUCAAUAUCAAAGGGAAAGUAUCAAUAUCCACUAAAUAGGAAUCAAAAUUAUUGAAAUCCACUUGUUCAAUUUUGAUAUUGUACAACAUGGCCAGAGUUUUUGACUAAUAUUUGUUUAUAAAACUAUAUCAGUAUAUCACUAUCAAACAAUCUAAAGUUAAUUCACAAAUCUAUAUAUAUUGAUCCUGAUUAGUAAAGUCACUAAUAAUAAUAAAAGUCAGCUUUAUUGAUGAUAUAUAUGGGAAUUUGUAGGGGUAGAAAAGUCAAAUUGAGGAGGAUUCAGGUAUGAUUAUGAAAAUAAUAAUAAAAAAAAGAAUCUGACUUGACAAAGUUUCCUAAUUUGUGUUUUGCUGCUCAAAGACAGCCUUGUAAGUUGUAACCAAAGUGUCUCUCUUUUCUUCUUCUUCUUCUUCCUAAAUUUCUCUUCUUUAUCAUAAUUUGGAUCUGUUCCUUGAAAAAAACUUCGAUAUAGAUUUACGUAUCACAGUCAGAAAGAAUAAAAAUCGUUUUUUUUUUUCCUGCUUGUGCUUUUUAGCAAUAGAGAUUUGAAAAUUUCCACGAGGAUUGAUUUGGGUUUUUGUUGUUUGUUGUUCUGUUUUGGGUUUUGGAAUUGGGUUGGUGAAAAAUCAAGCCUGUAAAGUGUUCGAUGAUUUUCCCCAGAGAAGAAUUUUGAAGUUUCUCUUUUUUUUUGUUUUUGCUGGGGAAAAUUGAAAGGACAUGGCAGGUGAAGAAGAUUGGAUAGAACUCAAGUUUAGACUAGCAGAUGGUACAGACAUAGGUCCGAGCAAGUACAAUCAAUCUAUGACUGUUUCUUCUCUUAAAGAGAAACUCAUUUCUCAAUGGCCUAAAGGUAUUUGUUUGUUAUAAUACUGAUCCUUUUGCUUCUUUCUACAGCUUCACGGUUUUUGAUAAUUGAGUCUCAUUUGAUUUGAUUGUGAGUCAUGUUUUUUGACUUUCCAUUGGGUUUGAUUAUAUAAAAUUUGUCUUCUUGAUUCUUGGCUAGUCUACGUGUUGAACUUUGUAAAGUAUGAGAAUUUAUAGUUGUUGUUGUAUAAAAGCCUACUCUAAUAACUGAUUUUGGCUAUAUAACUAGUAUAAGAUUGAUGUCUCAAGUUGUAUUUUUUUCUGUGGUUUAGGUGUUUCUUGGCCUUAUUUGAAACUUCUGUUGCAUUUAUUUACUCUACUUAAGGUUGUGUUAGAACUGCAUUUUCAAAUGUUUCUCUAUUUCACAGAUAAAGAAAAUACUCCAAAAACUGUAAAUGAUAUGAAGCUUAUCAAUGCCGGGAAAAUUCUGGAGAACAACAGGACACUUGCUGAAUCUAGGCUUCCUGUUUGUGAACUUCCUGGAAUGGUCAUUACUAUGCAUGUUGUUCUUCGCCUUCCUACUCUAGACAAAAAGAGCGGUAAUUUUGCGUACCUCAGUAUACUGUUUUAUCGCAGUGUAACAAUAUGUUUCCUUGAAUUCUGUACUCGCUUGCAACUAUGGCUUUCAGAUUCCAACUUCCAUGUUUUUUUCCAUAGGAUUGGUGCUAAUUACUUUCACUUGAGAUCAUGGUCAUAUCAUCUCAUUAUAUGAAAUUUUCUGUUCCACAGAAAAACAGCAGAAUGAUCCACCGAUGAAGAAUCGAUGCGUGUGUACCAUUUUGUAGCUGCAAGUAAAUUGGAUCAUAGAGAUUAAUAUCCUUCAUGAUAAUGGUUGGCAUAGAUAUUGAAAACAAAUGAUCUUCAUAGAACAGCUUCCAUAGCUUCAAACAAGCUUUGAGAAGUUACUUCAGUACAAAAUGAUUGGCAUAGAUAUUGAAAACAAAAGAUCUUCAUUACAGAAUUUGGUUCCAUGUGUGUGGCCGUGUGGGUGUUAAUUUAUUUUUCAGUUUUUUUUCUAUCAAAAAUGGCUCGACAAAAUGUACUAUGGUUCGUGAAGGAUGGUUUUUCGUAUAAGUCAUUGCUGUAAUUCUUAGUUUGCUUUGUACUCUUGUCUAUCAUUUUAGUUUGCUGUAAAAUGAUUUUUCUUAGAACUAGUUUAUAUUCAUUCUUGCUUACAUUACAACAUUUUUUACAUACAUACUUAAAGAGAUUUCUUCUACUCUCUACUCACUUACCGUUACUCUCUUAUCUUACCUCUAGAUACUAGGUUCACUUACAGAAGCAACCACUCAAAGUUAAGACUCCAACCACUCCUAACAACUCUUAAGUAUUCUACUCUAACGAAGAUUCACAACAGAAACACAUAUUUAGGCCAACACCAGUUAUGACCCAAAGAACACCUUGAUGAGAAAAUGGUGCAUUGUCUACAUAAAACAACAGCUUACACAACCCUUAUUAAUAUGUUGAACCCUUGAUGAGUUCCUUACCGUGAUUGCGUGGGACGGGAAGUGUGACCAUUCAAGAUAGUUGUUUCCUUUUGUUUUUUUUUGACAAAAAUAGAUUAAAGAAAAAUGAUAAAGGAGAAAAGAAAGAAGAGAGAAAAAAGAACUCCAAAAAGAUAAUGAGUUAAUGAAAAAUCAAAUUUAUUUAAAACUCUACUUUUAAAACGCAAGGACUGAAACCCUUAAACAAUGAACCAAAUUCUAAGGGUCGUGUCACCUAAGUACAAGGUCAUCUAAAUUUCACAUGGUAACUUGAAACGGCACAAUAGACAAACAUGAUUUUUGGCAAACCACUCGUGGAUACAGCUAUCGUCAAACUCGUGUCCACAUGAUAAGGUCACGACUCUUUCUCCCAUUUUAAACUCAUAAAAACAUAUUGAGCACAUUUCAGAGCAGGACAUCGUCUUCUCGUAUACUUUCCUUGACAAAGACUCAACCGCAACCUUACAUGCCGGUCUAAACCGGAUAUCAAUGGUGCUCUCAUCAAAUGGGACUUGCAUAUCCUCUUCGAAUAUCGUCGUCUCUUCCAAUGAUUGCAUAUAUCAGACAUACUCUUCAAUCGGGGUAGGAUGAAUGAACUAAAAGGUAAUAUAAAAUAAAAGAAUAGACUUUGAUUCUUCCUGCAUCUUCAGGCUUAGGAUUGUAGUCGAUUUCAUGCUUGAGGGAUACUUUGUCAGCAAAUAAAUCCAUUAAAAAGAAUACGAGAUGUUGUUUUAGGGUUUCUUUUCCGAUCUUUGUGACAAAUUUUGUUUCUAUUUAUGCAUUUUUUUAUAGACUGUGUGGUGGACUCUUGUAGCUAGGGUUAGAAUGGGAUUUCUUGAAUUUUUGUUUCCUUUCAGUUGAUUGAUCAAAUGAAUAUAUGAGUUUAUCUUCAGUUUCUGGGGUCGCUUCCCAUAUCUUGGUGAGUUGGGUUUGAAUUUGACUCAGUUCUCAGUGCAUAUCUUCGUCGCAUAUGGGUUUUUUGUUUGUAGUAUGAGCGACGAGAUACAUCAGUCACUUUGGCAUGCAUGUUUAGGGAUGAUACUUCUGGACCGGCUUCUGCAUUCUAUUGUGUAUUAGUUUACGCAAGGACACGUUGAAAAUUAUGGGGGUUCAGAAGCUGUAUGUACUCUUUGUGCACAUAUUCCAAGAACCAAAUGUCGAGUUCUUUCAUUCAAGUUUCUGGCAGAUCCUUCAACAGACGAGGUGUUUUCUCACAUAGUUUUGAAUCCCAUACCGCCUGAAGAUGAUAAUGCAGAAUCAUCUAGAUCAAGAGAGGCAGUACGGGGUUACAUCAAUUCUACUUAUUAUAAGCGUCUGGAAAACUACGAUAUCAGUGAUGGUAGAUGCUCCCUCAGCACUGCACAAUAUUUCCUAGCUGACAAUUUCUUCAAGAAGGAAGACAUGACUGACAUCAUACACGAUUUACAUAACCGUCAAUGGCCCUUACAGCAUACCUUUGAGUCUAUGACAACACGAGCCGUUCCCACUUUCUGACUGUGGAUGGUCGCAUUUCGUUUCUUCCAAAAAGAUUAAUGCAGGAUAUUACUUGAUUUUCCUUAAAAGCAAGGAUGAUAAAAUCACGGUUGGGAUUAGGAGAGAGCGGGACCAACGAAAUUGGGGGCCCCACAAAGAUUAAAGAAAAAUUAGUAUCAAAGUUUACAUAAGAUUAAAAAAAAAAAAAAAAAAACUAGAAUUCAAAUAUUUGUUAAAGCAAAUUACUCUUGAUUGUUUUAGAAUUUCUUUAAAUAAAAGAUUUUCUCUUAUUAGAUGGAAAAAAUCUUGUGGUCGUAGAGAAAAAAUAACAUACUAUUUUUCUUUUAUCAUUCAAUUGUAUAUAAUAAUUAUAAAUUUUUUAGGCACGCAAUUUUUUAAAAUCUAUAUAUAAUAAAUAAUAUAUAUAUAUAUAUAGUAACAAAAAUAAUUAGGUGAGACCCUCUAAAAUGGACCCCAUUGCAAUGUUUCAUAGCAAUGUGGUCAAGUCCGACUCCUAGAAGUAAUGGCGCAAUCAACAUGAACAAUGAUCCUGCGGGAUUCCUUUACAACAUCAGACAUGUAGCAGGUGCAGUCCGACGGGAUAUGUCGCUGAGCGUUCUAUCCGACGGUUGGCACGUCAAGCUUUUUCUAUGAUUCAUUUUCCGUAGACAUGUCGCUGAGCGUUCAAUGGGUUACUGGUAUGAGAGUGAGAAUGCCAAGGCCGACCAGACCAGGGACGUUUUCUAAGUUUGGUUUCAUGACUUGCGUACGGAAGCAUUUUGUUAGCUGUCCUUGGAAACAUCUCAAGGUAUUAGCUACUUGUGAUUAUGUUUUGUCCACUUGUCGAUACCUUCUGAUUAUAAUAAAUCAAAUUGGGUCUGGUUUGAUAUAAUAUCUACAAGUAUAUUCAACAACAGUGAAAUAACAGAAGCUUUACUGGUAACGAAAAAGACAUGCCACUAUAUCUGUGUUCUUAUCCUCAACUAAGCUUUUCAUUCUUUUAAUUAAAGGGUUUUCAGUUUUUCUGUACAAUACAAAGAAGAUAUACUUCGAGACCCCCAUAUCUGAAUAAGCAACCAUUAUAUUAAGCUAUCUAUAACUCGAGACCGCUGUUGGAACUUGGAUUCAACAUUCUUGGAGCUUAUAUACAUGGUAAGUAACAUCUGUGCAUUAAUGUUCACCAAGAGUUGCUGAUGAUGAACGGUUCAAGAGCAUAGCCUUCUUCGAUGCCCUUACGUUCUUCAGAGUCAUCAUGAGCUUUUGUCUCUCUCCUUCAACCUCUGCAAACUUGAGGCUUAGCUGAGAAUAACGGUCAUGCAUUUCCCUAAGCUCUGUCUCCAUAGACGAAUACCGGCCUUUGGUCUCCAGCAUUUCUUCAAUUAGAUUAUUUAUGUCUCUGAAACUCUGGAAGAUUGCUUCGUCAUCGGUGUGUUGCUUCAAGAAAGAGCUGCAAUUUCAGGCAAAAAGGAAUAAUAUGUUCAAAGUCUAAUAUACUUCUUUCUCGUUCCUGCAGUAUCUUGGUUUUACAAAGGCGAAAAUAAAUAGCAGAAUUUUUGAAUCGUGUACCUCUGGAAAUGGAUGGUCGAUUUUUUCUUUCCACGCAGUGCUUCAGCAAGUUCUAUUUCCAGUGCAAGAACCCUUUCCAAUGCGUUUCCGCAACUGAAAUUCUCGUGAGAUAGAGGGAAGAUACUUUGCAGUUCUUCCUUUGCCUGUUGAAAACAAGAUCAUAAGACUUCUGGACAAAAAUGCUUCAAUAUAUUACAAUCUCUAAAGGUAAACAUCUGCACCUGACGCAACUGUAUCAGCUCCUGUUCCAAACCCGGAAAUCUGGUGUCUGAAUCAUUAUCAUCUUGAGGUUGAAGUAAAUUCUCAUUCUUCAUCCGUUCUAGCUGUAAAGAAGACAAAAAAAUAUUAAAUAUCCAAUGACGCUAGGCAAAAUCUUUCUGUAGAUACUGACCAACAUGUAGAUAUUGUAAUUCAGAAUUACCAUCCAAUCCAAACAAAUUUUAAUCGUCAAUCCAGUAUUACCUCAUUGUUUAGGUGAUCCAUGCUAGACCUUAAAGUCUCUGCCCUGAAAUUAUCAUUGAUCAAAGCUAGGCUUUCUUCACUUUUGUCCAGCGCCAUUGCUUCUCCGGAAGGUAAUUGGUCUCUGUUUCCAUUUACAUUGCUCAAUUGAAUUGCACCCUGAUGAACAACAAACAUACAUUAAAAGGUGUAAAUAUAAUAAGCAUGACUAGAUUUUAACCCGCGGUGUACCGCGGGAUGAUUUAAUUUUAAAGUUAGUAUAAAAAUAUUUUGUAAAUUGUAUCUCCUUAUAACAUAUUUAUUUAUAUUAUAGUUUACAAUUUUUAUUAAGUAACGGUAUACCACGAGUCCACGAGAUAAUUAUUAAUAAACUGAGGAUUUAACCCGUAUUAAAGCGGUAUAUAAAUAUUGAUUCAAAUUCGUCCGCCAUAUAAAUCAUUUCCGAAAUAUAACUUGUUCCGUAAUUUCUUAACCCGUCCUGUGAUUUGUAUUAAAAAAAAUAAGGAUUAAAUCCGUAUUGAAACGGCGGAUUAAUGAUAUUUUAAUCUUUUUAUUAUUGUUGAUUCAAAAACCCGUCCCGCCAAACCCAUCCCGCCAAACCCAUCCCGCCAAAAAACUCAUUUAUUUUAUUAAUGUUCUUAUUUAUGAUAUGAUUCUGAAUCAUUGUCUAAAUAUUUUAAUCGAUGUAGAACGUUGAACACACAUUUUCGUCAAUUGGAUAAUAUAUGUCUGUUUUUAAAAUUUCGAAUCACAUUAUAUGCAGAAAAAAAAUUGAUUUUUUUUUUUUACUUUAUGUAUUAUAUGAUGAUUCAAAACAGUUAAAAACAAAUCAAACAAAGAUUAUAGGAGAAUCAUAAUUAUAAAUCUUAAUCAAAUCUUCUAAAAAUCUAAAUUAUUAAAUAUGGAAUAUCCGGUGUAUGAGUUGGGUUAAAUAUAACCCGACCCAACAAAUUUUUUGUGAAGGAAUUUUUAAAAUGGGUCGGAUAUCCGAUAUACCCGAAAGCUUUUUUACCCACCCGUCACAAAAAGUGCUGCGAUUAUACUAGUAUAGAUAAGAAAUUUGAAAGAAUAUGCUUAAUAUCUAACUAGAGAAUUAUCUACAGAUAACAUUACGUAGACAUUUCAUAAAGAAGAUGCAGCAGAAUUUUAACAUGACUGGUUAGAGCAGAACUAGUUUUAGCAUGAGGUCUACGAUACCAUGAACUUGAAUAUUCUUAACUACCAAAUAAAUGAUAAUCCAAACGGGAUCUAAAUGAGUGUUACCUGAAUUUUUGACCUGGGACUGAUGAUCCGCACUGUAGGAUCCAAACAAGCAACUUCCCUUUGCUCAUUGUUCACCAAGUCGCCUGAAGAGACUGCAAUUGUAUUUUUGUCAGCCAACUCCGACACAACAAUAUUUAAUCUAUCAUUUUCUUCCAUCUCAAUAUUUUUAUGAGAGCUGCAACGUUGUACUAAUUCUCUCCUUGAUUCUAGCUCUUUGGACAUUUUCAAACUCUCCUCUUUGCAUUGCUGCAGAAUAGCUUCAAGCUUCUGUUUUUCUUCUUUGCAGCACUCAAGGCUUAAUAGUGAACAAUCCAACUCUGCCUUCAUCAUGUCAUAAGCCGUUGUUUUCUCACGUUUAUCAUAGAUGACAGAUUGUCGAUCAGCCUCCAAUUCCAAUAUUUUAUCCUCCAGCUCUUUAGUUCUUUUUAAUUGGCUGGAUUCUGCCUUUUUCCUUGCUUCAUUCUCAUCAAUGGCAUCUUGUAAUUUCAUCAGAAUUUCCUCACCAUGCUUCUUGGACAUGGUCAGUUGAUAUUGAAGUUCCUGCAGCUUGGUUUCAUACUGUUCUUUGAUGAAAAUGAUUCUCAACGACUCCUGCUGUGGAGUUAGUGGGGCUUUAUAGUCGGCCUUUUCACGAGCACGAUUGCAUUCAGCUUCAGCAUUGUCCUUAAGCUCUUUCAAAUGAUUGGACAAGCUUUUGAACUCCUCUGUUUUCAAAAUCUGCUCAGAGAGCUUCUGAGUGAGAUCACUGCACCUAUUUUUCAGUGUUUCAAGCUCACCGGCACCUUUCCCACAAAGCCCAGUUAGAUUAUCUUUUAGUAUCUCAACUGUAAUUUCCGCCUCAGCUUUUAACACCGUCAAAUUUUCUAUUUCUUCUUCAUAACCAAACAACAAAGAUUUCAAUUGCUCGACCUCAGGAGCACAUAAGCUUCUCUCAGAGUAACUUCUUUCUGCAUUCUCAUCCCUAGUUGCAUGCUCUUCGAGUUCAACUGACAUUUCAUCAUUUCUAUUAGCAAGAGCUCUACUUUUAGCCAUGGAAGACUCUAGUUCAGACUUUAAGACUUCAAGACUAAUCAAUAACUGAUUGUUUUCGUCCAUAUACCGCGUUUCGUUGACUAGACAAUGGUUAAGGGCAGAUUCCACAUCAGUGUACUUCUUCUGAAACUCAAGUUGGCUCUUAGAGCAGCAGCUAAGUUGUUCUCCAAGGUCAUUGAUACAUAUCUCAGACUGGAUCUUUGUAAAAAUAAGCUGAACAUCUGCAGCCAUUAGACAUUGAAACAGUUCUUCUAUAAAAGAAGACUCUCGAUGAGCAUUUCUAACAUACUCCAAACGUUGAGAAGACUUUGCAGAUUCCAGCUCAGCUGCCAUCUUCUCCAAAAGUUCCACUUGACAUUUCUGCAAAUCAAAGUUCUCCAACAACAAAUGCUUUUCAUCUAACUCAGAGGCGAGUUCUUCAACUCUUCUGUCUAAGUUGUUUCUCAAACUUCUCUCAGUUUUCAAUUCUGUUUUUACGGAGUCGAGAUCUGCCAACAACUUUAUAUUAGCAUCCAUAUGCUGAGCUCCUACAUUACGAGAGUCAUUGAACGCAGUCAGUACCUCAAAAUGUUCCUUGUGGAGCUUGUCAGCAUAAGUCUCCCAUUCAGUUCUUGUGUAAACAAUCUGGAUAUCUGCUGCUACUGAGAAUUCCAUCAUUUCAAGUAACUGAGAUUCCAAAUCGGAAAUAUAUGAUGAAUCACGAGUAAAGCUUCUCAGAGAUGUUUCAUAUCUUGUCAGACGAUGAGUGUGGGUUGCCUUCUCCAGCUCCAGAUCGGAAACCAUUUGCUUGAGACGGACCAACUCAGAGCUUUGCUCAUCAAAGCUCAUCAAUUUGGAACUUUUGGCGACCAACUCAGAUGUAAGAUCUUGCAUUUUAAUUUCUAGUUCCUGCCUCGCGCUUCUUUCAAGUCUCAACUCGUGGUCAAACGUUUUCUUUAAAUCUUCAAGCUCACGCACAUGACCCAAAGUUUCCUGAGAUUUAUCCUGAAGAGAAACCAGAACACGUUUUUUUUCCUCAGCAAGUUCUUCCACAAGCAGCUUGGUUCUUCCAUGUUCAACAGCUACAGAGCUUAAUUCACUAAUCUCUUGGCCAAGUUCCUCAUUCUUGGACACAAUUAGAUGCAUUUCAUUCUCAAAAUAGUCAAGACGAGAAAGAAAGUCCAAGUUACGGCUCUCAUAGUUUUGUUCAGCUUCAGUAAUAGCCUUCAUUUUGCCAAUGAUAGACUCAGUUUCCAACUGCAGUCUCUGGAGGAGGGCAGUGGAAGCUUCUAGUUUAGUGACCAGACAUUGUACAUCAUUCUCAUGCUUCUGCUUGAGCUCCAUAACAUCAGACUCAGCAGCCCUUAAAUAUGACUCUGUCUUGGAUUUUUCUUCAAUCAGGUCAUCAUACUCUGAUAUAAGUACGAAACAUUUUUCACAUAUCUUACACAAGAAUUUAUCAAGCUGCUCUGUUAAAUCAUGGGACCCCAAAUCAAGAUCCACUCCCUCUUCCCACAGGGGCAAUGAAAUGAGUUUUUCAUUGUAGCAGCAUAACGUGUUUAUCAAUUUCUCCUUCAGACUACUGAGGUUCUGAUGUAGAUUUCCAUUUGCAGUUGCCAGAUCAUCAAACUUACCUCUCACAGCAUCAAACUCAGCUUGCACAGUAGCAAGCCUUGUCCGGAAAUGAGCUUUUUCCACCGCUUCUUUCUCCAUAAGCUCUGCAAGCUCAUUCUUCUCACAAAUGCAUGUCUCAUAAUUGGUCUUCCAAUUCUUGGACUCCAACACUACAGAUUCCAAUUCAUCAAUCUUUUGCAGAAGGAUGAGGUUUUCGUGAGUAAUAUUCUGUAAAUUUGCCUCUAAAUUUUGAUUCUGCAAAGCUACAGCAUUCCAUUUGGCAAUGCAUGUGGUUUUCUCCUCAUUCAGGGAGCAAACCUCGUCCAAAGUAAUAUCUAGCCUCUGCUUCAAUAUUUCCUUGGCCUCUGUUGAAAGCUCCAGCUGCCAUCCAAGUUCAUCAAUUUUCGCUUUCAUGAUCCUUAUGUCAACACCUGCUUCAAGAACAGUUUCUCGUAGAAUGUUUGAGAAUACUUCCAGAUAUAAGUUCCUUGAGUGCAUCUCAUAGAGUUCUUCUUCAACUUUUUGAUAUAAGCUUUCUUGCACAUGAAGAGAUCUCUUCAAAUCUUCUAGAAGAAUAAUAUCACCUUUUAAAGGCCGUUCCUUCAUCCCCUUUUUCUCAUUCUGAAACUGUAUGAGUUUUACAUCACGAGUGUCCUGUUUCUCAGGAUUUGAAUCAUCUGUUGAUUGAAUGCAUUCGUGAAAGCUUUGUGGAGGUUCUGGAAAGGCUUGCUUAAUGAGGUUUUCAUUGGUCUCGAACAUAGAUACAACCUGGGAUGAAAGCAAUUCAAGAUCCUUCUGCAAAUGGUUGACAGCAAUAGAAUAAUUCAAGCGGGCCCUUUUAAGUGCUGCCUCCGCAGCCAUAGCUCGUUUAUCCAGUUCUUCAUUCAACGAAUCUAAAGUUUUCUUCUCCUCAGAAAACCUUAGUGUUUGCUCAUUCAUAUCGUGACGCAACGUUUCCAUCUCAGCCUUAGCGCCAGAGAUACUAUAGAGGCAUGUGGAAUGUUCAGUCCUUAGAUUCUGUAACUCUACUAGCAACUGCCUUUGAGUUUCCUCAAGCUCCUGGACCAGAGAUUCGUAAUAGCACUCCAUCUGAUCCAUUUUCUUGGUAAGGCUAUCACGUUCAGCUUUAGCCUCGUCCAGCCCUCGUACAAGCUCGAGUAUUUUAUCUCUCAUGGCACUAACAGAAUCUGCUGAAUUGGGUUCACGAGAAGUAAGAUCAGGCAUACCAAGAUAUUGAAGUGGAUCAAGUUCUGGUUGAUAAAUAUCAGUGUCAACCUCAGAGGCUGAAACAAAAUGCUCUGCUUUCGACAUGCCUCUCUCUUUAUUAUCGGUCAUGGUGAUUUUCUCAGAUGAUACUGUGCUGAAGUGAGAUAUAGGCUGGCCAAUCUGCCUUUUAAUAUCCUGUAGAACUCCAAGCAGAGACUCAAAGUCUGAGAGGAACAAUCUUAAGUCUCUGUCAUGGUAGCCAUAGCAAACUUUGUUUUGAAUUUCUCUUAUGUUAUCCUCUACAACUAAAAGUCCCUGCCGCCAUCUUAGUUGUAGACUGUGUGGAACAUUAUCUUGGUCUUUGCUAUUAUAUAGAACGUGUGAUUUGACAUUACGUAAGCGCUCCAUCUCUUCUUUUAACUUUGAGCACUCUGAUUUCAGCACAGAUACUUCUCUGACCAAAUGAUCCCCAGAACCAAUCUCUGAUAUAAGUAUUUGAGAAAAAUCUUGAGCUUUGGAACCUAUAUCAUCUGCAUGGCACUGCAGCGAACUCACUUCAAUCUUAAUCUCAUUAAUGGAUGAUUCCAUGUCUUCCAAGAACCCUUUAAGCUUAUUGUUGUCUUCUAUUGCAUUGCCCAACUCGCUAUUCUUACCAAGAUAGUCUGAACCCCAGCUAUGAUGCCACUCAUGACCGUCUUUAUCUUUUUGCAGGCUCUGAGCAAGUCCACUCAGAUCUCCAGAUACCACACUUUUGAGGCUGUCAAUUUCAUUUGUGCUGGAUAUAUCAUGUUUCUCUGCGUUUAGGCUCCCUGAUGUGUUUGAAGAGACAUCAAAUCCCAAUCCUGAAUCAAGGUCAUUUGGCCCCACAGUUUCUUCCACUAAAGAAUUAUCUCGGAACUUUUCUUUGAAACUCCCUCUCAUAGUUGUCUGCAAAAAAAUAGACAUUAUAAGUUGUGUCAACACCCUCACACCAAAAUUAGCUGUCGAAAAGUUGGUGUUCGAUGAAUAGAUGACACUACAUACAACUCAGUAUAUUAUUUUAGUAGCAUAUUGGACAAUCAAGGAUCCAAUACGUGCAAAGGGGUAAAAACCGGAAAGGACACAUCCAUGAAGCUUUUAAGGGAAAAGAAGACCAAACCUUAUCAACAUGACUAAGAGUCUCAUCAGAAGGUGAAAUCCUGCAACGAGAAGAUUCGUCAGGGCUGCUAUGGUCAGAGGUCGUUGAUGGUCCCCUCUCACUGAGUUCUCUUUGCUGCUCGAACUCUCUGAAACCAGUUUUUGAAGUUAACAGCUGUAUAGUGACCUGAAAACAAAAACAAAAUAUUGAGAAACCAAUCUCUGAGCAUAAGAAGGAAGUUGAUCUCUUUAUCGGGAAGUGAAAAAAUGGAGAAAAGAUGCCGAAUGGUCCAUACAUGUAAGAUAGCUCCUGAAUCACAGCCUUGCAAGGGCAAUACCACAGCAAAAGGUUUUAAGGCAUCAGCAUAUUCAGCAAGGUUGAUCAUAGCCUCUCCAAGUAUACUAGAUCUAGAAGUACCCUGAUCUCAUAAGAAUGCAAAGGGAAGAAUAAAUUAACUCCGAAAUUACAAGUCAUAAAAAAAAAGAAGAGAAAAGAUAGGAAAAAAAGUAGAAUGAUACCAUAGCCACAACAAUCUUAUAAAGUUUUUCAUCAUAUUGCUUGGUCCUAGUAUCCUGAAGCAGCCGUGUAGUUUCAUAGAUUGGAUCCCCCCACUUGCAAGUUCCAUUUCUCACAAGUGCUUUAGUUGUCUUUGCUGUAGCUUUUACGGAGUCAGCGGGAAUGAAAGAUAUGAAUAGUUUGUCCCAUCCCGCUUGUGGAACCUUAAAUAAUAUAAACAAAGCACCCAUCAGAUCACACAAUGUACAUUCAGAAAAAACGCAGCAUUAACAUCUUAUAUAACUACCCAGAGAUACAUAGUUUCACACGAACAGCAUAAGAACACAAGCAAAAACUACAUUUCAAGCUUGAUGAGGCUAGUUGAGUAAUGUUUGCAGAUUUACUAAAGGAUACCUUUUGAGCUAAUAUAGUUAUUAGACUUACAUGGGUAGCGUGAAACUGCAAUCGAAAGACGACUUUGACUUUGGCUUUCUCCAGCUUCCAUUUUGCCAGUCUCGACAUUUUACUGAAAAUAUCAAAACAGGUUCACCUGCAAACACACAUGAAACGAGCUCAGUUUUCUUUCCAUGCUCAUCUUCAACCGUUUAAUCCUAGUAACAACAGAGACUAGUACAUUUAACAAUCAUAGAACAAUGAAACCAUCAAAAAUACAAACUUAGAUCCAAAUCACUCAGCUGUUCAAGAUUUUCAGAUGCUAAAUCCACUAAACUAACAAAUAACCAAGGUUCGAUCUCCGAUCCUUCCUAACUCUAUAAGACUAACCAAUUCCAAAAAAGCCAAGACAUUUCUGCUAAAUGGCGAUAUAGAAACAAAAUCUAAAAGUGCCCACUUGCUAACUAGCUCUCCUCAGAUCCAAUCACACCCAAAACUUAAAAUCCACUUGAAACACAUAAAUUCGAGUAAGAGAUCCGAUUCAAGUGACAUGCUUACCCAAAUAACUAGGAUAAAUUCCACAACAUUUUCCAGAUUUAGUAGCUAGUAGAGAAGAAACCCAAAAAUGGGGAACAAAAUUACCCAGAGAAGCAAGUCGUGAAUUCUUAAGAAAACAAAAAUAGAAACAAAACAAAAGUAAAAAGCAAAAAGCUUUGAUUGGUUGGUUAUGCAUUAAUGGGGAUGAAGUGGAGGAUCAUCACCUAGUUCCCGGAUCUGAAGGGUGCUUCUGUCGGAAGCAAACAAUUACGCCUACACCAAUGAACAAUCUUCUUCAAACCCACGAUGAUAUCUCUCUCUCUCACUUCUUCUUCUUCUCCAGCUUUUUCCACUGAGUCUUAAGUAAAUAAUAUUAAAAAACGAAAAAAGUCGGUGAAUUUCAAAUCCGGGUAAGCUAAAUAUCUAGAGGAUUAAACAGCAUUACGGAUCUAGAGAUUGGGUAAUGGAGAUUGGAAGCAAGAAUUAGGGAUUUUAGAGGAAGAGAGAGAGACUAGGUUAGGUUGAUAGUGAUUAAGUGUGUUGGUAAUUUGGUGAAAUAUCACAAAGGAGAUGAGAGAAGAGUAACAGUGUUGUGUGUUUGGGGUUUAAGUCUUAGACAAGGGUUAAGUUAAUUAAGAACAGAGACAUCCCGCCAAAGCCUAUUUUUAUCAUCCUUAAUUUCUUUUCUUUUUCUUUUCAUAUGGUCCCAUUUUUUAUUUUCUUAUAGAAAUACUGAAAUAGAAGUAAUGAUGAUUUAUUAUGUCGGGCUAUAUUUAUGUUUUGGAGGUGUGUGUGACCAAUUCGAAUUUUAAAUUUUAUUUUAUGAUUGAUAAAUGAUCAAGCAAAUGUAGCAAAAAUAAUAAUAAUCCACCUUCGAAAAAAAAUAAAAAUGUACUAAUUAAUGAUGUCAUUGGUAAAGAUCGCAAGAAUUUACUUCAGCAUGUACGAUUCCAUGAGGAAAAACAUGACUCAUCAGAAAACUAUAAUCACGUUCACUAUUCAAGGUUCUAAUUUCUUUUUGUUUUAUGUUCAAAUUUUUCUGUUAUCAAAAUAUAUUUUUUUAUAAAAAGAAAAUCAAAGUAAUGCCCAACAUAAAUUCUAGUUCCACUCAUCUUAAAGUUAAAUCUUUAAAAAUAAUCAAGGCACAAAACCACACUUAUGACCUUUUAAAAAUAAUCUUUGAAUUUCUUGACCUUCAAAGCCUUAAUUUAAUAAUAGUAUAUUUUUAAUAUAGAAAUAUAAAUGUUGCUGAAAUUUUUCAAAUGUCACGAAGUUUAAAAGUUCACUACAUUAUAAAAAAAUAAAGAUUUAUGUUAAAAAAAUCGAUAAAAUCCGAUUCAUAAUUAAUUUUACUACUCGUUUAAACACAUAAAUCUUUGUAAUAGGUAAGUAAAGCAGGCAGUGGUUUUUUAUAGUUGGAAUUGUACAAUUACUAAUGUAAGCUAUUGAAUUCUCAUAUCUGUAUAUGGAGUAUUGAUUAGUGUCGUAAUUAAUGUUAUAUUCGGAUUUAAAUACACUGAGAUACUACUACAUUAGUACAUUUUGUUAAAUAAAAUAAAAUAAUAGUAACAGUAAGUGUAAAGGUGGCCCCAAAACGGCGAGCGAGCUAUAUAAAUAAUGGAGGCAGGAAGGGGCACGUGGGUUUCGAGCGGUCUCUUUUUCUCCCGGUCACAGCUAAGCUAUUUUCCACUUUAGCACGUGAUCACUCAUCCUCAUCACGUGUUGCGAUCGUUGCACGUGGCGUUGAUCCGACUUACACAUUAUUUAUUACUACAAGGUCGAUGAGGCCGGUGUUUUGGGCCAAGGCCCAAACUACAAAAUUGUUUCUGAUUUUCACUACUGUAGAUUGAGAAAUCAGCUUAGUGGAUUAAUCUUUUUUUUUUCACCAAAAAUAAAAUAGAAAUACUCCAUAACAUUGUGGUUGACUUUGUUGGGAAUGAAAUUAGUCAGUUUUAUGAUUUGACUAAUCUUGUAUAUACCGUUAAUAUUAUAAAAAUACACUCUUAAAACAAUAGUCAAUAGAGUUUUAUUUUUUAAAGACAAACAAUAGUUUGCUAUGUUAAACCAUAUUUAGUGCUUUCUUAUAACGUUUUGUAGUACAUCAUGUACUGUACAUGUAUGGGACCAAAAAAACGUCAAAUAAAUAAAUCCUUCGAAUUUAGGCCUUGAUUGGUGACUUGUAUAAAGCGGAAUUGAGAUGAAAAUAAUCAAAAACGCUUUUUGUCAGUCAAUCAACAAUUAUGUUAACAGUUUGCGUUUUUCAAAAAAAAAAAAACAACAAAUCGCGGAUUUUGAGACUGUUGUAUAUUACACAGAACGCAAUUCUUCAUACCAUCAUGUUUUAUCCAGCGGUUUUGGUCAAAUCCGCAGUGACCAAUGGAUAAUAACUUUUGUUUUUCUUUUUUAUUUAAUUUUUUAAUUUACUAAAUUUGCUAUAUAUAGAUUACAUUUAUCUUUCCAAAAAUCACAUAUACAAAAGUAGAAAAAAAUUUUCCUCAUGUAUUAAUAGUUUAAUUAAAAUAUGCUUAUAAUUUUUUUUAAUGCAAAAAUAUGUUUAUAGCUAAUAUAUUAUAAUCACAUUUUUUUGUAGAAUCUCAUCCCAUCCAUUAGAUAUAUGUUUUUUAAUCUAUAUUUUGGAGUGAUUUUGUUCUUAAUGAUACAAAGCGGGUCAUGAUUCAUAUUUGUUAAUCUAUAAUUUCUUAAUUCAAAAUUUUAUUAUCGUAAUAGGUUAUGUAUUUCAUUUAUAUAUAGAUAAAUAUACUUAGUACAUAUAGUACAAAAUCAACUUAGUUAUUUUUAAAAUUAUUUUAAUAACAUUUACAAAAUAAAAUUUACUAAUUAAUUCAUAUAAAUAAUAUUACAAUAGAUAUAAUAUAUAUAUAUAUAUAUAUAUUCUAUAUUUAUAAGAUUAUAAUUUUUUUAUGAACAUAUAACACGUAUUUUUUCUUUUUUAUUAUUAACAUAUUUUAUUGUGUACCGCAAAUAGUAUUUUUCACCAAUCAAACAUUAGUUUGUACCGCUUAUUUUAUAAAAACCGCACUUGUCCCGCAAAUACAAUUCUCUCGCACGUACCGCAGUUGAACCGUACCCCACUAUAAAACCGCUUUUUCCGCACAAUCAAAUACGCUGUUACCAUUCGGACCCUCAGUGAGGAAUUUUAAGUGGUUUUGGCAAAAUCACUUUUAGUUCACCAAUCAUAAAAAUUUUAGAUUUUGCGGUUUUAUGACUAAAAACCAAACAAAACGCGCACGGAUUUCAAGCAUCAAAUUACCCAACAAAAUUUUGGACCGCACUUCAAAUUCACAAAACGGGUAAUAACCAGCGGUUUCAAUAAAUAACGCACUGGAUAAUAUUUUAAUAUUAUAGUUUUAAGAAAUUUAUUGUACAUAUGGAUAUAUUACACACUUAUUGACAGUUUACUUUAAAAAAUGUAGAUCACUAUCUCUCCAUCUUGAAGAGUUAAGUUUUAAAUUUAAAUUACAUUACAACAUAGUCAAUAUAUGCAUAUAAUAUAAGUUAAAAAUAUAUUAUUUCAUACAAACUGAUAAACUAUUUCAUACAAAAUUAAAUUUAUAUUUUGAUCGUAUUAGUCGUUUAUAAAUAUCUGUUAUUAUUUAUUUAUUAACAUAAAAUUAAAUUAAUUAAUUAUUAAUAUAUAUAUAUAUAUAUAAUCUAUAAUCCGCACCGCAAUUAGUUUUUUCACCAAUCAAACAUUAUUCUGUACCGCUUAUUUUAUACAAACCGCACUUGUCCCGUAAAUAUAUUUCUCCCGCACGUACCGCAGUUGAACCGUACCGUAUUGUAAUAACGCUUUCCCCGCACAAUAAAAACCGCAGUUACCAUUCGGACCCUUAGGAAUCAAAAGAACAAGCGCAUUAUCAUUUAUUCUUUUGCUGAUUUUCUAAUGUACUCGUAAAGUAUGUGCAUAUAUUGGCGAUCGAUAUAUAUAACUUUCUUCCAGAAUAUCUAAUAAAUUUUAUUGGUAGUUUCUGUUGAUACCGACCCACUCAUCCCAAUGGGCAGUGAGUAUAUAUAUAUAUACCCGACCAAAAAAAGUGCAUAUAUAUAUAUAUAUAUAUAUAUAUAUAUAUAUAAAGUAUAUAAUAAAACUAAAUAAUUUUAAUUUAUUAGAUGUUUCUUCUUUUCUUCUUUUGAUAAACGGUUUAACUACAAUUUGACAAACACACCAUAACAUCGUAUUUCUCACGAUCAUACAGUAAAUAACGUUAUAUAUUCUAUUGUGCAACAACGACACAGUAGCUUAAAAGCAAAAUAAUUUUAAUUUACCUUAUGUAAAACAAAAGUAGCUGGUUAAUUUCACAACCUGAUAAUAUACAAUCCGAGUAAAAAGUAAAAUUAAAUAAAGAUACCAUUAGCCAAUUUAUACGAAUUGUUUUUUUUUUUCUUGUAAUAAAAGGUAUACGAGUCUUUUGAUUUAUAGUUUUUAUAGGUUAAAGACUAUCUUUAAGAAAAAAAGUGGUAAUGGUUUUGAAUUCAAAUUCGAUAACGUUGGAACAAAUCAAAUCAUUCUCUUUGGCUGGUAAAAUUGAAGCAGUUGAAGUAUCAAUAUUUGUUUAUUCUCUAGGAACUGUUGGGUUUUUGUUUUCUUUCUAGUAGUUGCACCUCUAAUACGACUCAUUAAAUAUUUGGAUUAAUCAAAUCAACCUAAGUAUCUAAUUAAUUAGAGUAAUAAAACGUAUCUAACUAAUUAAUUGCUAGUGUUUAGUGUUUCUCUGUACCACUUUAUAUGGUUUACGAACAGUAUCCACGACAAGGGCUAUGUUCAUUGCUCAUUAGACGUUCUGAUAAAUAAUAUAAAACAUAAAAGAGUGCGAUGCUUAAUGUUUUCGUCUUUGUGACGUUUAAUUAAUUAUAAACACUGACCUAAAUACGUUUACUUUUUUUGCAUUAUAUAUAUAAUAUAGUACAGAAGUGGAUGUAAUCAUAUCAGGAUCUAUCGUGGAUUUGCAUCAAAUCCAUUUUUUUCUUUAAUUUUUGUUUAUCUUCAACUAUCGUUUUAAGUUUUUAUUUUAACAAAAAAAAAGUUUUUAUUUUAAUGAAAGAUUGUCGUAUUUGUCGCCUGAUAAUUCUUUACUGUCGAUAACAAUUAAACAGAAGCCACCAUUUGCUUUGUAAUGACUAUACGAAUAUGAUAUUGUAGCUGAAUGAUCAGGAAUCAUCACUCAAAUUUGAGGAAUAAUCGUUUAGGUUUAACAAGCAAUAAUCUAAAAUAUUGAUUGAUUUAUUAAUUUAUUAAUAAUUACUUUUCAAGUAUUGUUUUGAAUAUGCAUUGAAGAAUUCUGAUCAUCACACAUUAUUUGCUUGCGAUAGCUAGCAUGGUAGUUUUGCUGUCCGAUCAACAGUCGAAGAGAGUAUGGCGCAAUGUGCACUAGGUCACUAAAUGUGUAUAAUUUUUGUUACGCCAUCGCAUUCAUGAAAGAAAAUAUAUUUCGAUAGUUUAUAAAUGAUUACCUAUAGUUCUGCCGACAAAAGAUAAGGGGAAAUAUAGUACUUAGUUAUAUGGUCCACUUUAUAUAAAUAGUAAUCUUACCUUUAAAAGAAAACAAUGUACGAUUUAAAGUCUCCGACUCUAAAAUUUGUUUUGAUGAAUUCAUCAUCGCCAACCACUCAACAAAGGACGAUGUAACCUCUUACGCUUCAAUAAUAGAGUAAACCAAACUGUUUUUCCAUUCUCUCUGACGAUAGAAACACUUGAAACUAAAGCAACAAUAACAUUAUCAAUACUAGGGAUUUUAGAUUCCCACUAUUUGUGUACGUAACUACGUAUAAUAGCUGUCAAAACAAUGCACGUAUAAUAAGAAGUGGGAAACAGAGGAAAUAAAUUCAACUAAAAUGGACCCACAAAUUUAUCUAUAUAUUCAUCCGAACCCCUCCCUCUUAAAUUCCAAACCACACUCAGCUUUCACCAAAUUCUUUUUACAUUUUAUCACCUCUUUGUCUCUAUUUGCAUCUCUUUUCUUAAUUACCAUUAUAUUUUUCUACUGUGAACUUUUCGAAUAUGUCGCUAGACGGAUCGGGACUAGGAGGGAUGGCUAUGGCGGAGGCUUACACGGUGAGGAAGUUUCAUAGAGAGAACAUGAAGAGUAUGAUGGCAACCGCGGCCACAAGUACCGCCGGUGGAAUCGAAGAGAACGGUGGAGGAUCCGGCCGGUGGUUCUUUGGAAAGCUAAGCACCAAGAAAAACUCUGCUAAAGUUUUUGAUCUUAUGAUCACGGAAUAAUAUAUAAGCUAUGAUGGUCACGUCAAAAAAUUAAACAAAUUAAUAUAACGAAUAAAACGUUGGAACUAUCUUUUGUCAUUUUGUGUUAGUACUUUUUUUUUUUUUUUUUUUUUUUUUUUUAAAUUGUUAGUACUUACUUGUUUGCAAUUUAUGUUUAAUACUAUAGUGUUUAUCGUGUGAUUUUAUUUAUGAUUCUUUUUUUUAUUAUUGUGUGGUUUUGAACAAGUAUUUAGAGUGGAGAUUUUAUAAAGCUAUAAAGAGUUUCUUAAACCCUGCAGCUCGUUCCUGGAUUUUAAUGCUAAAACAACAAAAUAUUUUACUCACAUAGUCAAGUACCAUUUUUAAAGGAAAAUUUUGAAAAUUCUUCCAAAUUAAUUGAGUAGAUUUUCUUAACUAUUCCAAACAAGCUAAAUCAUGUAAUUUUCUCUUUUUUCAAAACUUCAAAACAAAAAUUUCCAGACGUAAGUAUGUCAAGUUAGCCAAAGCCCAAAGGAUAAGAGAAAAAUAAAAUCUAACGUAUUAGUUUAAUUUUUAAGCAUAAUAAGUUUAAUUAGGACCAAUACGUAUAUAAACAAGGAAAUGAAGGGUCGGAGUUACAAUAUAUGCUAAUUUAUUAGCAGACCAGCAUCUCUCUUUCCCGUGGCAAAUCCAGAGGGUCACGUAGUUAUCUGAUUUAAGUAUAGAUAACUAUAGUAUCUAAUCUAUCUAUAUGGGUAACAUCAGAAUUUGAUGCAAACUGGAAUAGCCAAAUGUAAUGAACAAAUUAUAUUAUUGGAAAAUAUCGGAUUGGUCAAAUUACUUAAGAUAAUAAACGACUAAUAGAAACUAAUUGUUCGGCUGAGAAAUGAUCGUUUAAAGAAUUUCAACCAGUUUUUAAUUAUUUUUGCCAAAAAAUAAAUCAUUAAAACAGAAUAUUAAGUACAUACUUGAACUUUCUUAUCAAGUGGAUAAUAGAUCGUCUAAAAAAAUAUUUGAACAAUAAAUUCUAUUCUUGUUGGUGUAGUGCUUUUACACCCGUAAUAGUGGUCGAUUGCCAAAAUAUACAAAUUAUUCGUAUACCAGCAUUUCGAAUGCUGAAUAUGCUACAAAAAUCGAUUUUCUAAUAGGAUUUUUCAUCUUAUUCUAUGUUUUUACAUCAACACAAAACACUUUUAUGCAUAAACUAUCCUUAAGUCUUAGUUCUUGAACACAAAAUUUCAUGGAAAAUUCCAUCAGAAAAUUUUGUCGGAUCAAUGAUUUCUGGAGGGAUUUAGCAAAUAAUGAUGGUGAAUUACUAGCAGAAUUAUAUUAAGUUAUCUUUAUUACAACGUCAAUGUACACUUUUUCAGUGGUAAAUUUACCCAUAUUUUAGUCUCGGUCCGAAAUCUAUAGAUGUUUUAUAACAAAAUAAAUAAAGAAAACACCAAAAUUAUUAGGGUUAACGACAAUAAUAUGUCACCAUACACGAACGAAACUUGUGCAUAGUGGUGACGAGGAGCCUAAAAAGCGAUCACAGAGAGACUUAGCUUGCUUUUCUCACGUGCACUUGCCAUGUGAGAAUAUUCAACAAAUCUUAUGGGUUUUACGAGCUAAGCCCAACUUUCCUCUUUAGGCCUUUCUGCUCCGUUGUGUUUGGUUAUCUAUGAAAACAUUGAUUUUCUUUCUUUUGUUAGUUAGUGCACACUGCACACUGAUCAAAAUUUGAAAUAUGUUGUAUUUUAACUUUAACAUGUAAGGAAACGUCAUGUCAAAAACCGCUUAGUAGAUUUAAGGAAAUCAUAAUUCUAGAAGAAACAGAUUCAUUUAGUUUCGGUAUUUUUCCUUUUUGCAUGUCAUUGAUCAAUACGUUUUUAAUCGUAUUAUAAGGAUUGAAAAAGAAUAUGAUAUAUAUGAAAUCUUUAUAAAAGCCAAACCAAAAGCCCCACUUAUUUUACGUAUUUGUCUCUGUCGAAACGCAGAUUUUAUUAGACAAGUGGCACCAAGCUAACUAAAGAAUCAAUAUUGUAUUAGGCACAAAACGAAAUAACAAAAAUAAUCAUUUUCUUAGAAUUGGCCAAUUGGGUAGGUCACUAAAGGCCCAAUUAUUACUCACUAAGCCAAGGAGGGGUUAAGUUAAAAGAUGCCACUGCAUAGCACUGAGACCCUCCAAAUAAAGAGAAUAAUUUGAUUAAAGUAUUAAUCUUGCACUCUUGUUCCACAAAAUGCGACCUAAUUUCUAGGAAAAGUAAUAUAAUUCCCGAAUAAAAAAUAAUUAACAAUUAUUUUAAAUAUUUCUACAAAUAAACUACUCUUUCCGUUUCAAAUUAAUUAUUGUUUUAAAAGUUAAAUUUUGUUUCAAAUUAGUUGUUUUUUAUUUUUUAAUGCAAAUUUUUGAUAAAUUUUUCUAAAUUUUUCUAUAUUCUUUUAACUUAUUAAUUGAUAUAUCAAAUAAAACAAUACAUUAAAUAGGAAUACAACAAAAAAAUUAAUUUUCUUGUAUACGUAAAAAUUUCUUAAACGACAACUAAAUUAAAAUAGAGAUAAUAUCAACUAUAUUAAAAUCGUUAUUAAUGUAACAUAUACUUAACCAAACGGUAGUGAUAUCAUGGUAAAAAAACUCAAAGGCAUGGUGUCAACCCGUGUUCAAAAAUAGCUAGGCGAUAGUCGGAUGGUGAGGGUGGGCCUAGCGUCUAACAAGAAAAUCGGAGAUUAAACCGGAAUUAAUCGGGAAUUAGUUUUAGAGCUAUUUAAUGUUUUAAAAACAUAUUAAUCUAUUAUAAUUAAAAAAUUUAAAUAAUAUUAUUUUUAAAAUUGCAUUAAACACAUGAAAACCAGAUUUUAAGCUCAAAUUUAUGAGUUUUAUACAUAUUACGAAUAUAAGUGGACUUUUUAAAUUUUAGAUCAAAAAAAAAAAAAAAAAAUUGGGCUAGGCGCCAUCUAGGCGGUCUAAGCGGAAAAAUAAUCGGAUCAGCGAUUUUUCUUACCGAUUUGGACAAAAUCGCUGCGGUUCCCCUCUGAUCAGCGCGUAGACAGCCGAUUUUUAGAACAAAAGUGUCAACUAUCUAACUUUCAGAUCAAAUUUUGAAACUUUUUCUUUUCGUUUGGUCAAUCAAAAUAAUUUCACAUUUUUGCGAACAAGAUACAACAUUUAUCUGAUUUCGGUCUGUUUACAUAUUAUUUUAUUUUUAAAAUAAGAGAUACUAUAUAUUAAUUAUUUAAUGUGAAUCAUAAAUCGACUAUAAGUUUUGAUAAAUAAUUUUAUAUGUUUUUCAAAUCAUAAAAAAUCACAUAUAUGAUGUAAAAAAAAAAAAAAAACAAAUCACAUAUAUAUGAGAUUCAGAUUCUCUAUGUUAAAAUAUAAAGUAAAUCAGACUGAGCAGGCGUCCGGAAUAUUCCUCUCAAGCAUCUGACGUGUCGGCCGACGAUUAGAAUCCAGGUCAUCAACACACGCGUAUUUUAGAUAAAAAUGCGCAUGAUAAGGUCAACUUUUGGCAUAGAGGGAAAGACUUCAACUUUAUCAUCUCUCGAUUUGUUUUCUCACGGUGAUGAUGCUUUUGUCGUUUCAUCGUUCGUUUACUUCAACUUGCUUAUUAUUCUACGCUCAUGGACUAAUCAAAGCAACGAAGAAAAAAGCAAACAACACAAAAAAAUAUAUUAGAAAAAAAAUAAAUAUCUCUGCUUUUUUCAAUGAUGGAUACGCUUCACCUCUAAGUUUUGACCAAAGUUUUCUUCAUUUCUCUUCUCUCUUGUGAUCACCGUUUGAUCGGAAUAUUCCUUUAGAAUGCGAAGAUUCAUUCUUCAUCUCUCGAGCUUGUGAUGAAUUUCUUCUCUGCUUGUCAAUGGAGGUUGGUUUCUGUUUCUGAUGUUUUCUUUUGCUUUGUGAAAUCUAUAAAAUUUCCAAUUUUAGUUUUUAAAUGUUGCAACUUUCUAGUUUCAUGGGUAUAGCUCUAUUUGGCUAUGUUUCUUCAAAAGUCUCGUUUUUGGAGUGUUGGGUUGUAUAAAGUUUCAACCUUUAUAGCUAAAACUGUUUAUGGUUAUGUUAGUGAGUAGUGUAAUUUUAAGGAUGUCGAUUGGAUCUAUAUCUAUUGAAAGCUGAGCUAGAGAAUCUGUUUCUUGAAUUCAAUAAGCUUGAGUCUGUAAUUGUUGAUUUACAGAUGAUGAGCUCUUCUUCUUCUACUACUCAAGUUGUAUCAUUGAGAGACAUGGGGAUGUAUGAACCAUUUCAACAGUUAUCUGGUUGGGAGAAUCCUUUCAAAUCAGAUAUCAACAAUAAUCUUAGUAGUAAUCAGAAUAACAAUCAGAGUUCUUCAACAACUCUUGAGGUGGAUGCUAGACCAGAAGCAGAUGAUAACAAUAGAGUGAGAUAUUCUUUAUUUCCUUAUUCAUGCUUUAGAUUUAUAAGUGUUGUUUGUUUGGUAAUUGAUGGUCAAUUAUGUGCAGGCGAAUUAUACUUCUGUGUAUAAUAAUAACUCUGUUGAAGCAGAACCUUCUAGUAAUAAUGAUCAGGACGAAGACCGGAUCAAUGAUAAGGUAGACUUUAGCAUUUUAAGGCUACUUUAUACCUUUUGUUUCGAAGACUUCAUAAACUUCUCCUUCUUCAUUUUAAUCUUUAGAGGAAGAGACACGGCGUGAUGACAUGAAUUGUUGUUCCUUCUGUAUGCACAGAUGAAACGGCGUUUGGCUCAGAACCGAGAAGCUGCUCGCAAAAGUCGUUUGAGAAAGAAGGUAAGAAAGAAAGGUCCCUUGGUGGGAUUUUCUCUUGUGGUAAUGAUAAAAAGGAAAGCUUAUGCAAAGUUAUGACUGUGCCUGUAGGCUCAUGUGCAACAGUUAGAAGAAAGUCGGUUAAAGUUGUCACAGCUCGAGCAGGAACUUGUUAGAGCUAGGCAACAGGUUAGCACAAGCUUGUUUCUUUGUUGUGUGUUCAUCAAACUUUAUCUGAUUCAUAUUGACUCAGUGAUUCUUUUGGCUUGUUUUAGGGAUUAUGCGUACGCAAUUCUUCAGAUACUAGUUAUAUAGGACCAGCUGGGAACAUGAACUCAGGUUGGUGUUUGUAUCACUAAAUAAGCAUAUAUUAGCAUUGCUUUAUCUCUUAAUCUCUUACUCCUCAGUAGAUAAAUAAGUAAUUUUCUUAAUGAUAAUUUUUUGCAGGUAUUGCUGCAUUUGAGAUGGAAUACACACACUGGCUAGAAGAGCAAAACAGGAGAGUUAGUGAGAUUCGAACAGCGCUCCAAGCUCAUAUAGGUGACAUUGAGCUCAAAAUGCUGGUAGAUACUUGCUUGAACCACUACGCAAAUCUCUUCCGCAUGAAAGCUGAUGCUGCAAAGGCUGAUGUGUUCUUCUUGAUGUCGGGAAUGUGGCGAACUUCAACUGAACGCUUCUUCCAAUGGAUUGGAGGUUUCCGCCCAUCCGAGCUUUUAAAUGUAAACCUUUUUUUUUUUUACUUUUACACGUUAGUCUUUUUACUCUUGAGAAAAAAUGCUCAACCAUUUUAUUGUUGUCUAGGUUGUGAUGCCAUACGUUGAGCCCUUAACCGAUCAGCAACUCUUGGCGGUGCGUAACCUCCAACAAUCGUCUCAGCAAGCAGAGGAGGCUCUCUCUCAAGGCUUAGAUAAACUUCAGCAGGGUUUGGUCGAAAGCAUAGCAUUUCAGAUAGAAGUUAUCGAGUCUGCGAAUCACGGGGUUCAAAUGGUUUCGGCCAUGGAGAAUCUUCAAGCAUUGGAGAGUUUUGUGAACCAGGUAACGCACUCAUAUAUACUCUUUCUUCUUAUCGUCAUUAUAGCUAGGUGUAUUUGCUUUGAUUAGAAACUUGUGAGCAUUGAUUUCACAAACAGAAUCUCUGACUCUAUUGGAACAGGCGGAUCAUCUGAGACAGCAGACUCUGCAGCAAAUGAGUAAGAUAUUGACGACAAGACAGGCUGCUCGAGGCUUGCUCGCUCUAGGAGAAUACUUCCACAGGCUGCGCGCUCUUAGUUCUCUCUGGGCAGCUCGUCCACGAGAACACACUUGACAAGUUAGGAGGCAAACAAAACAAAGAGAAAGAAGCACAAGGCAGAUGAUGUUACCUAUAGGGACUCUCAGAAAGUGUUUGGAGAUGUAAGCUGAUUUUUUCUCUAUUAGAGAGCAUCAUCUUCCUCAUUGAUGUUUUUGUUUACUUAAAAGGAAUAAGAGAUGUGUAAAUUUGGGUGGAAAACAAUAAAACAUGUAAUGUGGUUGAUAUAUAAGACUCUUUUAUGUUUGUAAAAUAUAUAGGGUUUGUUGUCACUCGUCAUAUAUGAGAAUUUGAGUCCACCAUCAAAUUUUUUGUCUUUAUACUUGUUCCAACAGUUCGUAGUUUUUUUUUUUUAAAUGUGGUAAAAUAACCUUUUAAAGCGACCAAUUUAUACCAACAAUAGAAAAAAUUAUUAGUUUUCUCAAGUUAUUUAUUUUGGAUUUUCAAAAAGCUCAACCGUAUACUAUACUUUUUUUGAGCAGGGCUAUUCCUGUAAUCUCACACCCCAAAAUUAUUAGUUUUCUCAAAGUUAUUUAUUUUUUAGCCAAAACAGAAUUAUCUAAAGAUUUUCUAACCAAUUGUCCCUAAAUUCAAACAGCAAGCAAUUUUCUUUCAAACUUUAUAUCGAGUUUGAUCUCAUUAGAAUUUUGCCAAAAAUGAUUAUGAUACGGGUCUCAGCCAAAAAAACCUACACCGAGGAAAGAUGAAGACAGAGUUAAACGAAACACACAUCCGAAAGAAGAUGUCUUGGUGUUGGGGUGGGCCAAACCAUAUCGACAUCCUUACUCUGAGCACCAACUACCAUGUACAUUACUUCGAGGGAAACCCUAACGCACCCACCAUCACCAACUUCUGGGCCGUUUCUCAGUUUGUACAACGCCACAUGUUCGCCCUUAACAUUUCUACCUUAAUAAUCACUACGUCAUGAUACCCCGUGAACUGAGUAUUCUCUGAUAGGGGGCUAUAGUAUAUGUGCGGAAUUCCGUAUAUGUGCUGCACAAAACAACUUAAAUAUGUUGAAGAUAAGGCAAAGAAAGUAAGAAUUGAAUUAAUCUUACAUCUCCAAGACGCCACAACUCUGAGAAAACAACCAAAGCCACACCAAUAGGCUGAAUGUGAAGGUGCACUAAAGCCUUGUACAAAGUAUUAAAACUUUAGAACAAACUUUAUUUUGUGCGUUCGCUCAUUAACACUCUUGAGGAUGAUGACAAUAAUUAAACUGACGAUACCGUGGGAGUUCUUCCGAAAUGCAUUCUCUUUCAAUGUGUUUUAAGGCUUCAUGAAGUGUAGUACCGUAGCACACAUGUCCCUUUACGACAUCUUCAUCCUUGUCAAACAUGUCUAGAUCAACAUGGCUGCUCAGCAAAAAGUGGAAUGUAUCUAGCUUCCCAAUGACGGAUAACCAUUAUAGCACUCGUUAGAUAAGAAGAAACAUAUGCCCAACAAAUAAUGUGUUUGAGCUGAUCUCGAAUAAAACCAACCAUCACUUUUUUCAUGAAGAUAUUUUAAAAAACUCAGAUGUCUAAACAAAACAUAUAAAAAAAAAAAAAAGUUUAAAUAUUUUUGAAAAUUAUGAACAUGUGUCAUUGAUAUAGGAAUUAGGCUUCACAUUCUCACAAAGACAAUUUGAAAAGACAAUUUUCUGAGAAAAAGUCAAGGAGAGAUUACGCCACCAAGAUGAUUAUCAGACAUUCUUGAAGUGUCUCUAUAUUUUUAGUAAGUAAUAAUCUAAAGGAAGGAUCUGCAAAAUUGUGAUUUUUUAAUCGUUUCUCAUAUCAAAAUCUUAACUAAUCUUCAUACAGAUUUAAAAAUAAGAUCCAUAAACCAAAAAAUGUUCCGACUAUGAUCUAGAUUCGUCCAAAAUAGCUAAAAUUCUAAAAUUAAUAAUAAAUACAUUAAUUAAAAUAAAAUUGUAUAUAAAUGAUCUUAUAAAAAUUUAAAACUUAUUGAACCAUUAUUUUUUCCUUGAAGAUAAUGGGUUCGUUUUUUUCUCCCUAUAUGAGAUUUGAAGUUGAGAAGGCCCAACUGAAGCCCAGGAAUGAAUCCUUCUUCACCAAGCAAACCUAAAUCGAUCAAAAUCACCCGCCGCUAAAUUUCAAACUUGACGAGGAAUGUAUCUGAUGUAAUUCUUUCAUCUUCCUAUUGUUUAGAUUGUGUUCGUUGUAAAUGACUAAUGUUCCUUUGUCACAAUGUGUAAGGUUACUGAUUGAUUGAGUGAUUAUUUUCUCUAAUGGGUCUUAGGGUUUCGAUUAUCCCAACUGGAACACUCUCCAGAGAUUUCGUCACUUCGAGUGUGAAGGUAAGUAUCCUAAGUAUCCUUAUGGUUCCUUGGUCAAGUUUUAUGCAAUGGUGGGGCUUCAUCGUUACAAUUUGUUGGAGGUAAUUCAAAAAAGUGCUUUUUUAAUCGAUAUGGUGUAAGUGUAACUAUUAUUAUGGUACCAAUUUACAUUCUCAAAUUCUUUAUCCAUCUGUCAGGGGAAAAACUUGCAGCUCGAUACCCUAAAGAGUUUCAACAUGAGAAUUAAUUGCGGUGCUUCCUCUUACUACAUAACUUUGGCUGCACGCGUUCCAGAUAGCGGUUUGCAGCAAAUCUUUCAGGUUCUAGUUCACGAAGAGCGUCUUGGCAGUUUAGACGUGACGUGCACCGUUGCGAGACCUCGAGGUAAUUAAACAUGUGACUUUAGUUGAUCAGUCACUUUUACUUGUGGCAGUUUUCCACUACAUCUAAUUAUACUUGCGGGUUAAUGUUGCAUAGUGACCACCAGCGAGCCUUUCCUAGGUCGGCAUAGCGAAUUAGCCUAUGAUUAUAUGGACAAUGAUGAAUUGCCUAAUUGGCCUUCAGAGAUUGCUUUCAAUGAUAGAAAACGGUUUCACCUGGUAAGAUUAUUAUUAUUGAUUAGGAGGUUUGUUAAUGAAUUUUAAUACAUUUGGACAAGCAAACUAUGUGUUAUUGAAUCAUUAAUUUCAAAAACCUUAUCAAAUGUUCUAUAAUCUAUAAAUACUUAAUCCUAUGUUAUUCAUAAUCUCAUAUGGAUAUAUUAAUCAUUUGAAAUGCUUGAACCAAUAAAGACACAUGUGGUUUUGAUUUUGCGUAGUGAUUCAUGUUUUUAUUGACAAACCUUUUUUUUUAUUAUUGACAAACCUUGCAGGUGAAGGAAUCAGAGUUACGAGACAAUGAUUGGAUUCGUCUAUAUUUGGAACUUACACUUGUUGCUCACGAUAGGUCUCUUACAGUUGUAAGGGUUUUUUCUCUCUUCCAUUUGUUUGCAUUUCAAUAUGAUAGUGUGCCACAAUUGGUAAUAACUUAAUUAACACGAUAUGGUUUUGUUUCUGCAGCACUAUCUGUCCAAGUUGGAGAUUGUGCAAGUGGUGAUUGAAGAUGUGGAGCCGCCGAAUGCGAGUCUCAACACCAAAACUACAUUUGUCUACAUAACUUAUAAGGACUUGGCAAAGGCUCGGAUUGGUGAGCCGGUUGAUCGCAAAGCUAUUGUUAGAAGAAUCAUCAAUAUGAGUACGGGAAUCUUGAGACUCCGGGGUGAUUAUUGGAGUGGAGAAAAAGCUAUGAAUACUGAGGAGGAGGAAUCUAUGCAUCUCCCUGGUGGAGGAAAAGCUCUGAAUAAUGAGCAGCGUUCUAAAAUGCUUAAGCGUCGUUUAGGUGUUCAUAGACUUUGGCGAUUGUCUAAUCCUAGGUGGUACCAGGUAUACAAAUCCCGUGGCCUCCGUUCGUCGCCUGCGUAAUGACUAGCCAUUUAUUGAGAUCGGCUGAUUAAGUAAUGAUGUGGAUCAGCUGCUAAACUAUGAUUAAUGGUCGACUAAGUUAUUUUGUGUAAUUUAUAAGUAUCUACUGUUUUUGAAUACAAACAAUUAACUUAACUUAAUUUAUAAGUAUCUACUGUUUUUGAAUACAAACAAUUAACACAUUCUUCUUGGUUUUAGACGUUUUUAGUUGUCUUUUUUAUUUCCCAUUCUACUCCUUAAUUAAUCCCAACAUAUAAACACUAUUGUUUAGUUUAGUCGUGUUUGGACAAAUGUGUUUGAGCUGGUCUUGACCGGCCAUCACUUUCCAUGAAGAGUUCUUCAAAAGGGUAGUUUUCUGUUUUCCAAAAUGUUUUUUUUUUCUGUGAGAAAGUCAAGGAGAGACUAUGGAGACAAUAAUUAUCAGACAUUCUUGAAGUGUCUAACUAUUUUUAGCAAUGGCAUAAUCCACAGGAAGGAUCUGCACAAUUCUGAUUUUUGAUAAUUUCUCACAUUAAAAUCUUAACUAAUCUCCACAGAAAUUUCAGAAUAAGACCCAUUAACCAAAAACGAUUCAAGUAACAACAACUCACAUCACAAGACGAUUUUACUUAACAAGCCAUAGUAAAGAGAGUUUUUUGAAGACACCACCAAGAUUCGAUAAUUAUGUAUGUAAUGGGUUCGUUUUUCCCUCCUUUUUUGUUGAUGAGAUUUGAAGUUGAGAAGGCCCAACGGAAGCCCAUGAAUGAAUCCUUCUUCGCCAAGCAAACCUAAAUCAUCCGCCGCUAAAUUUCAAACUUGACGAGGAGGAGAAAAAAGAUGAGUCGUCGGUUCGGAUAUACAAAGCAGAUAAGUCGUCCGCAGAGGAAUGAAUCUGAUGUAAUUCUUUCAUCUUCUUAUUGUUUAGCUAGUGUUCUUUGUAAAUGACUAGUGUUCCUUUCUUACAAUGUUAAAGGUAUUGAUUAAUUGAUUGAUUAUUUUCUCUAAUGGGUCUCAGGGUUUCGAUUAUCCCGACGGUAUUCCAAUAUCAUACAAUCUCCAUAGGCUUCUUCACUUCGACUGUGAAGGCAAGUAUGCAAAGUAUCCUUAUGGUUCCUUGGUCAAAUUUUAUGCUAUGGUGGGGCUUCACCGUUACAAUUUGUUGGAGGUAAACAAAAAGAAAAGAGCUUUUUUAAUCGAUAUGCUGUAACUUUUAAUUAUUAUGAUACCAAAUUACAUUCUCAAUUUCUUUAUCCAUCUGUCAGGGGAAAAAUUUGCAGCUCGAUACCCUAAAGAGUUUCAACAUGAGAAUUAAUUGCGGUGCUUCCUCUUACUACAUUACUUUGGCUGCACGCGUUCCAGAUAGCGGUUUGCAGCAAACCUUUCAGGUUCUAGUUCAUGAACACCGUCUUGGCAGUUUAGACGUGAGGUGCACCAUUGCUAGACCUCGAGGUAAAGAUGCAACUUUACUUGAGUCACUUGACUUGUGGUAGUUUUCCACUACAUAUAACACUUGCUGGUUAAUGUUGCAUAGUGACCACCAAUGUGCCUUUCCUACGUCCCCAUAGCGAAUCAGAGUAUGAUUAUAUGGACAAUGAUGAAUUGCCUGAUUGGCCUUUAGAGAUUGCCUUCAAUGAUAGAAAACGGUUUCAGCUGGUAAUAACUAAAGACACUCACUCACUUGUGGUUUCUUUUUUUUUGUUGUUGUUUUCACUUGUGGUUUUUGCUUUUGCCUAGUAGUGAUAUACUAUGUUUUAUUAACAAACCUUGCAGGUGAAGGAAUCAGAGUUACGAGACAAUGAUUGGAUUCGUCUAUAUUUGGAACUUACACUUGUUGCUCACGAUAGGUCUCUUACAGUUGUAAUGGUUUUUUUCUCUCUCUUUCAUUUGUUUGCAUAUCAAAAUGAUAUUGGCACUCACUAUUAGUAGUAACUGUGGUUUUGUUUCUGCAGCACUAUCUGUCCCAGUUGGAGAUUGUGCAAGUGGCGAUUGAAGAUGUGGAGCCGCCGAAUGCGAGUCUCAACACCAAAACUACAUUUGUCUACAUAACUUAUAAGGACUUGGAAAAGGCUCGGAUUGGUGAGCCGGUUGAUCGCAAAGCUAUUGUUAGAAGAAUUAUCAAUAUGACUACGGGACUCUUGAGACUCCGGGGUGAUUAUUGGAGUGGAGAAAAAGCUAUGAAUACUGAGGAGGAAUCUAUGCAUUAUCUCCCUGGUGGAGGAAAAGCUCUGAGUAAUGAGCAGCGUUCUAAGAAGCUUAAGCGUCGUUUAGGUGUUCAUAGACUAUGGCGAUUAUCUAAUCCUAGGUGGUACCAGGCAUACAAAAAACGGGGCCUCCGCUCGUCGUCUUAUUAAGUAAUGAUCCACAUUUAAAUAUGUGGAUCAGCUGGAUAACUAUUAUUAAUGGUCUCGACUAAGUUAUUUUGUGCGUCUGAACUGUUAAGUGGAUAUGUUUUUGUGUAAUUUGCAAGUGUCUACUGUUCUUGAAUACAAUUAAGUUAACAUACUACCAUAUGUGUACUUUAAUUAAUAGGGGAAUGAUGAGAGAUAUUCUUCUUGGUUUUAGUUGUCCUUUUAGUUUAAUCGUGUUUGGUUUUGUCCUCUUGGACCAAAUCCAGAGACCAAUACAGAGACAAUGUCUUAAAGCACAUUUUGCUCUGUUUUCUCUAAUCAGAGUUUCUGAAGUUUCCAGCUACUUCAUGGUUCUUUCAGAUAGAGAACACAUCUAAACUAAUGCAAAACAACCUUACAUAGAUUGAUGAAUCCUGGUGACGACCAAGCUCUUCACUAUUUCUCCAGAUUCUUAAAUUGUGAGCAAGUAAUGAGAUAUUUUGCAUGUCAUGUAGUUUUAUUCUGUUGAAAACCAGAGCAAGUAAAGGGAGUCUGAUGAAUUGAUACAAGUGAAAACAGUAGGAAUCUGUUAGGUGAAGUGAAACAUAAAAUACUAACUACCAAUUCAGGAAUUUUUGGAAUGAGAUAUGAAAUCUGCUUCUCAUGUUUGUAGUUCUAGAAACAUCGAGGUUGAUCUCCUUUCUUCUUCAGCAUCUCCAGGUAUGUGUUCAUGAUCUUCUUGUCUAAUUCGUAAUAGACUUCCAUUUUCUUCAAAGGUCUCAUAUCAAGAUCAAUGAAAUGUACCUGCAAAGAUUAUGAGAGAAACAAUUCAAUAAAAGCAAAGAUUUUAGUAUCUACAAGUUAAAGAAAGAUGUACCUUGUACUCAAAUUCUUGCUUUGUUGAUUCAAGAUGAAGAUUACUGUGAGAAGAGGAUCUUGAGAGCCCAACUUCUGUUGAUCUAAAACUUAUCAUUACACUACAAUCCUUUGCAGUGGCAGAUAUUAGAAAAUCCUUCAAAAUAUUCACUUUUUCAUCCAGUGGAAUUGAAUGCAUGGAGCUAUAUUGAUUCAACUCUCUGCACACUUUACAUGGCUGGUCAAUGAAGUCAUAGUAUACGUGAAUCGCUCCCUCGAUGUUAUAUUUAUCGAGCUUUUGGACGUCUAGAAGCUGAUCUAGAACUCCAGAUGUGUAAACAGUUUCUGCUACAAGCUCUAUGAAACGAUCUGCACGUAAACCAUCAUAGGUCUUGAUGAUAUCUUUGAGUAUAUGCUCAAAAGCUAGUUCAACCUUUGAGGUUGUUUUGCAUAUGCCACCACCUAAGCCUCCAAAUACCAGAGAACCAUUCAGGAACACACGGAAAUUGUUCUGAGGAGUCGCGUAGAGCGCUUUUAUUGCUUUGAGUAUUCUAUCUUUGGAUCCAGAGAAAAGGUCUAAAGGAUCAUAUUCACUGAUUUCUGAGAUCUGCAAUACAUAACUUUCACGAGUUAGGUUCAAAGAUUGGAUUGUGAAUCUGAGGAGAUGUGUAAAUGAAGUACCUCGUUUUCCUUAAGCUUGAGAAUUUGGUGCAUUUGGAAACGAGUAAUACUCUUCUUAAUAACAUUUUCUUCUGCUAUGAAACUUGAAGAUGGAAGAAAUCCACAUUUGGGCUACUUCAUCAGAGCAAACAUAUAUCAGCCACUAAAAGCAUUCAAUGGCUAGCCUAAAAGUAAGUAAGUAAACACAAGAUAAUGAUGAUGAUGAUGAACACCUUUAUUUCAACACUUAAGCAUGGUUUAUCCUCAACAUGACCUGAAAGCAGAGGAGAUCAUUAACGCGCGACAUGUUAUAUAAACCAAAAAGGCAAAAACCAUAGCUUAAAUCCAUCAUAUCAAAUUUACUUAAACCAAGAGACAACCUACAAGCUCACAUCAAACUUUACUUGCAAGUUAGAACAAUGAAAGAAAAAGACUCAUCAAUAGUUGAAUAUACAAAAUAGACUUACCGUGGGCGAAAAGCGUCAAAUCAUCCAUGAGAAGCACGGAACUGCGGUUAGUAUCCACACUAGCUGCAUCAGCUCGCCAAGAAGGACGCUGAGAUGUUAUAAUUUUCUCAACAGAUUCAAGAAAUUCCUUUGCUACAAGAAGACGUAUCUGCAAAGUUGCAACAACAGAAAUAAAUUCCCAAGUCAUCAAGACUCAAAUCCCUUAAAAACAUCCGUUUAUGUCCAUUGUGUUAGAAUCAUGUGACAAGAAAAGAAAAUGAAGAGGAAACAUACUCCAGGAUUGACAUGUUUACGACCCAACAAAGGUCUCAUGACAUGUUUGACAAACAAAUACUCUUCAAUCUCCUUGUUCUUGCAAGAUACAAGAUCCUUAAUGUCUGCCCAAAUAAGCUUUUCAUGAGUAGUAAGACCGUUUUCACUUUUGUCUCCAUUUUCAUUCCCAUCCUUUGGCAUUUUCUGUAUCCUCAUCAUCUUUCCCAACUUCACACAUAAACACACCAAAAAAGAGAGAAACAAACAAUAUAUCAAUCUCAAUGUUAACUACUUCUUCCUAAUCCCAAAAACGAUCAAAUUUGGGUUAGAGAAACAGAUUGAAAGAGGAGACUAACGAAAGUGGGAGAAGAUCCAGUGUAAGCGAGAACCAAAUUAACAGCUCCUUCGCCUCUAUAUGACCAAUCAACUGCAUCCUUUGGUUCCAAAACAAUCUCCUCCAUCUGAAUCCAAACACAGAUUAACAAAACAAAAAAACGUAUCUUUUAAGCAAUGAUCAAAGCGUAGACAAGCUAUGCAUGCACCUUUGGUUUUGAAAAUUAAACAAUGUAGCCGAUUUAUUAAAACGAUCAAGAAAUAAUCAUCAAUGAUCUCGAUUAGUAUCAAAAUGUAAUACUAAUAAACAAUUCGUAAUUCAGUUCUACAGAUUUCCUUCGUCGCUAAAAAAAAAAAAACAAGUAUGAAUACAGAUUGAAUUUAUUUGCUUAAGACAGAGUGAAUGUGUUUAUUAAAAUAACUAAUCAGAUUUUGACCAAAAAAAAAAAAAAGUCAUAUUUAUUAUAAAGGAUAUAUCGUGGAAGCGCUCUUGGCCCAUUGGUUGACUAAUGGUUAAUUAAUGCUUCUACACCAAGAGGUUUGGGGUUCGAAUCCCAGAUAUUGCGAUUUAUUAAUAAAUUUGCAGAUUAAAGGAGGCAAGUGUGCAGGAGAUCUCUAGCGAAGUACAAUUAUAGCCGUUCGCCAGGAUUCUACGCAGAGAGAGAAGUGUCGUCAGGUCGUGGAUCAUUGAAGGUGUCCGUCAAGAGCAUGGAGAAUGAAGUGUCGUCUGUCGUGGAUCUAAUAAGGGUCGGAAGGAAUUGUCCGUUGUAGAAUCGUCUAUGUAACAGUUCUCAUAAUUUGCAAUAAAUAAUAAAUCUAGACGUAAAAAAAAAAA